rnacentral:rRNA from 1 species
GAUGAACGCUGGCGGCGUGCUUAACACAUGCAAGUCGAACGGGAAUUACUUUAUUGAAACUUCGGUCGAUUUAAUUUAAUUCUAGUGGCGGACGGGUGAGUAACGCGUGGGUAACCUGCCUUAUACAGGGGGAUAACAGUCAGAAAUGACUGCUAAUACCGCAUAAGCGCACAGAGCUGCAUGGCUCGGUGUGAAAAACUCCGGUGGUAUAAGAUGGACCCGCGUUGGAUUAGCUAGUUGGUGAGGUAACGGCCCACCAAGGCGACGAUCCAUAGCCGGCCUGAGAGGGUGAACGGCCACAUUGGGACUGAGACACGGCCCAGACUCCUACGGGAGGCAGCAGUGGGGAAUAUUGCACAAUGGGGGAAACCCUGAUGCAGCGACGCCGCGUGAAGGAAGAAGUAUCUCGGUAUGUAAACUUCUAUCAGCAGGGAAGAAAAUGACGGUACCUGACUAAGAAGCCCCGGCUAACUACGUGCCAGCAGCCGCGGUAAUACGUAGGGGGCAAGCGUUAUCCGGAUUUACUGGGUGUAAAGGGAGCGUAGACGGAUGGACAAGUCUGAUGUGAAAGGCUGGGGCUCAACCCCGGGACUGCAUUGGAAACUGCCCGUCUUGAGUGCCGGAGAGGUAAGCGGAAUUCCUAGUGUAGCGGUGAAAUGCGUAGAUAUUAGGAGGAACACCAGUGGCGAAGGCGGCUUACUGGACAGUAACUGACGUUGAGGCUCGAAAGCGUGGGGAGCAAACAGG